AUUUUAAAUUAUUUUAUUUAUUUAUUAGCAGCCUGGAUUUAAAAAAAAAGCAAUAAUAUUUUAAAAAUAAAAAACAAGAAAAAUAUUGGCAUUUAUUAUAAGUGUAGCCAUCGAUUUUUAGCAGACAAAUGAAAAAAACACCUUUCCGGUCUAUCUGCCUAUUUCGUAUUCAAAAUCUGCAUUUCCACAUAUUUGAUGAAAACCGGUUUCGUCGACAGCUAAACCAUCGACUGUUCUAAUGUUUAAUUAAUUUUAAAAGAAGGAAAAAAUACCGAUAUUUUAUAAAAUUGAUAAAUAAAAGCGGUGGAGGCCAGUUAUAAUGGUGAAAUGUGGACCGAACCAUUGUAAAUAGGUAACGAUAAACGAAUGUUGCCCUGGUAGCAUUUCUUUGAUCACAUCAGCAAUAAAUAAUAUCUUUUAAACUAUCUAAUCUAUUGCCUUUUCCUGUACGCUAUGCAUAUUUUACGUAAAGAAAGGUUUUGAUCGAAUAAACAACUGUAAAUGUUUAAUGGCACAAAGAGGAAUUUUUUGUGUAGGAGUAUCGCGCCACCGUAACCCGAAACGCGCUAACUGUUAUCUUAUAAAAUUAUUUAUCGCUUACUCUCGACAUUCUCCACGCUUUUCGGCCAGGUUUUUAACCAGCCAUUCUUCACGGUACUGGUUAAGUAGCGGAAAUAUGGCCGUCUUACUCGGUACGGCUCGGGUAACAAUUGUUUAGCUUAUCCCUACCGAGCCGUCUUUUCUGGCCAUUACAAAAUUAACUGAUAAUUCUAACGGGCGGAAAUGUCUAAAGUCCCUUUUUUCCUUUUAAGACGCGCAGCCUUAAAAGGAAAAAGGCGAGAAACAUCCUUUCCCAGAAAACAUCGAUUUACUUUAUCCACCGUCCAGCCUGGCUAAGUUAACAUCGAUUAUCCAGAAUUUCUAUUUAAAUGCCGAGUAACUUUUGAUAUUUAUAGAUAGCCGCUAAUUUUUCCUAUAUGAAAUUUUCCGUUGUUGUUAAAUAUUUGUCAUUUAAAAUUAAUAAUUUUGAUGGGCCGUCUAAGUAAAAUUAAAUUUUCUAUAUAUAACCAGACUCGAUUCGGCCUAUCGGGUCGGGUUUAAUCGAGAUUUUGGAUAAUUAUAUUCGAUGAGUUUUCUUUUUAUCCGUUACCUCUACUACGGCCCUAGAUCCUAUAUACCGAAAAGUGGAACUCCAAUUUUUUUAGACCGACCAUAAAACCGGUCGGAAUCCCCCUAGCCACUUCUUUUUUUCCCCUGAUAUUUGAAAAUUGAAGCUAUAAAUAGUUUAAAUAAAAUAUAUUUAGACGUGGCCAAAAAUGUAAACGUUCUGAAACUUUCUAGUAAAAAUUUACGGUAUUCGGUCCAAGCGUCUGAAUCGACCAUUUUUUAUAAUAUUUAUUUAUUAAGCCAGACAUAAAAUUAUAGUUGGUGCGUAUAGUGUGAUGUUUAUGUUUAUGAGAAAAUUAUUGUGGUAGUAAUUAUUCCCAUGGGCUAGUCAAAAAUAUUAAAAGAGGAAACGA
rnacentral:lncRNA from 1 species